CACUAUCUAUGUUUUUGUUCAGGUUUAUGCAAAAAUGUGGUCCUUCAUCGUCACGUGCGUAUUGUAUUUUUGCUCAAACAGCCAAUAGCAACGGUUUUGUCCAAGUGCACAUCCAUGACUUUAACAAUAGGACAUUUUGAACAUUCCUAUUGGUUGACUUGAGAAAAAUACAAUACGCACGUGACGAUGAAAGACCACAUUUUUGCAUAAACCUCAACAACAUAGAUAAUGAGGU
rnacentral:miRNA from 1 species